GCGGUAAGCCGCCGACUAGACCUGCGCUCAGAGUUGUGAUCCUGGCUACAGUAGUUUCGCCGCCAUGUUAGCGAGCGGACGGGUGAGUAACACGUGGGUAACCUGCCUGUAAGACUGGGAUAACUCCGGGAAACCGGAGCUAAUACCGGAUAGUUCCUUGAACCGCAUGGUUCAAGGAUGAAAGACGGUUUCGGCUGUCACUUACAGAUGGACCCGCGGCGCAUUAGCUAGUUGGUGAGGUAACGGCUCACCAAGGCGACGAUGCGUAGCCGACCUGAGAGGGUGAUCGGCCACACUGGGACUGAGACACGGCCCAGACUCCUACGGGAGGCAGCAGUAGGGAAUCUUCCGCAAUGGACGAAAGUCUGACGGAGCAACGCCGCGUGAGUGAUGAAGGUUUUCGGAUCGUAAAGCUCUGUUGUUAGGGAAGAACAAGUGCAAGAGUAACUGCUUGCACCUUGACGGUACCUAACCAGAAAGCCACGGCUAACUACGUGCCAGCAGCCGCGGUAAUACGUAGGUGGCAAGCGUUGUCCGGAAUUAUUGGGCGUAAAGGGCUCGCAGGCGGUUUCUUAAGUCUGAUGUGAAAGCCCCCGGCUCAACCGGGGAGGGUCAUUGGAAACUGGGAAACUUGAGUGCAGAAGAGGAGAGUGGAAUUCCACGUGUAGCGGUGAAAUGCGUAGAGAUGUGGAGGAACACCAGUGGCGAAGGCGACUCUCUGGUCUGUAACUGACGCUGAGGAGCGAAAGCGUGGGGAGCGAACAGGAUUAGAUACCCUGGUAGUCCACGCCGUAAACGAUGAGUGCUAAGUGUAGGGGGUUUCCGCCCCUUAGUGCUGCAGCUAACGCAUUAAGCACUCCGCCUGGGGAAUACCGUCGCAAGACUGAACUCCAAGGAUUGACGGGGCCCCGCCAAGCGGGGAGCUUGGGGUUAAUUCGAACCA
rnacentral:rRNA from 1 species